UACGUAGGGUGCAAGCGUUGUCCGGAAUUAUUGGGCGUAAAGAGCUCGUAGGCGGUUUGUCGCGUCUGCUGUGAAAACUCGGGGCUUAACUCCGGGCCUGCAGUGGGUACGGGCAGACUAGAGUGCGGUAGGGGAGACUGGAAUUCCUGGUGUAGCGGUGAAAUGCGCAGAUAUCAGGAGGAACACCAGUGGCGAAGGCGGCUCACUGGCCCGGUACUGACGCUGAGGCACGAAAGCGUGGGGAGCAAACAGG
rnacentral:rRNA from 1 species